AUUGAACGCUGGCGGCAGGCCUAACACAUGCAAGUCGAGCGGAUGAAGGGAGCUUGCUCCUGGAUUCAGCGGCGGACGGGUGAGUAAUGCCUAGGAAUCUGCCUGGUAGUGGGGGAUAACGUCCGGAAACGGGCGCUAAUACCGCACACGUCCUGAGGGAGAAAGUGGGGGAUCUUCGGACCUCACGCUAUCAGAUGAGCCUAGGUCGGAUUAGCUAGUUGGUGGGGUAAAGGCCUACCAAGGCGACGAUCCGUAACUGGUCUGAGAGGAUGAUCAGCCACACUGGAACUGAGACACGGUCCAGACUCCUACGGGAGGCAGCAGUGGGGAAUAUUGGACAAUGGGCGAAAGCCUGAUCCAGCCAUGCCGCGUGUGUGAAGAAGGUCUUCGGAUUGUAAAGCACUUUAAGUUGGGAGGAAGGGCAGUAAGUUAAUACCUUGCUGUUUUGACGUUACCAACAGAAUAAGCACCGGCUAACUUCGUG
rnacentral:rRNA from 1 species